rnacentral:misc_RNA from 1 species
GAUGAAGAACGUAGCGAAUUGCGAUAAGUAAUGUGAAUUGCAGAAUUCAGUGAAUCAUCGAAUCUUUGAACGCACAUUGCGCCCGCUAGUAUUCUGGCGGGCAUGCCUGUCCGAGCGUCAUUUCAACCCUCAAGCCCCCGGGCUUGGUGUUGGGGAUCGGCGAGCCUCCGCGCCCGCCGUCCCCUAAAUCUAGUGGCGGUCUCGCUGUAGCUUCCUCUGCGUAGUAGCACACCUCGCACUGGGAAACAGCGCGGCCACGCCGUUAAACCCCCAACUUCUGAACGUUUGACCUCGGAUCAGGUAGGAAUACCCGCUGAACUUAAGCAUAUCAAUAAGCGGAGGA